ensembl:lncRNA
UUUUAGUUUAGUUUAACUUGAAGUACUAAAAACACUAAAACUAAAUAAAUGAAAACUAACAAAUAAAAAUUAAAAAAACUAUACAGACAUUUAAAAAAACAGACAACAAAAUUACUAAAACUUAAAAUUAAAGAAGUGAAAACAGGAAAUAAAAAUAAAAUCAAAUUCAAAAAGUUAAUAAAUUAUAAUACUGUAGUAAUUCAAUAAUACUAUAGUAACACUGGUGUACACAUCAUAAUAAUUAUUUCUUAUCAUUAUUUAUAUUUUUCAAUUUUAAGUUAAAAAUCAAUUGAUAAAUACCAUGAAUUAUUCAUUCAUUUAUAUCUAUACGUUUUUUUUCAUUUUCUGAAAUAACCAUUUCAUGUUAUGAAAGUCAAAUUAUCAUGUUAUUUAAUUAAAUAUAUUAUGAUUAAAAAAUUAAGAGCCUUAUUGACCUACAUUAAUAAGAGUCUGUAACAAUCCCUUCUUGUGAUAAAAAAAAAAAAAUACUGGCAAAAAUUGGUGUGACUGCACCAUACAGACAUGAAUAUUUGUGUGAUGUUUGUGGUAAAAAGUGAAUUUCUACUUUUCAAAAGGUCAAAACAAAUUCCCAUGCAAUGGUUUACAUUUUGUUAUUUCUGUGGUAGCUAUGAUAAAUUACUGUGAGGUCUGGAUGAUAAUCCCAUCACUUUUGACCCACAGCCGUCUCACGUCCAUAAAAGAUACAAAGAAGGAACCAUAAGCAGAUGUUUCUGAGUCAUUAGUUCGGCUGCAUGCAAGGAACAAGAACUACUGGUUUGACUUGCCGUAAGCUAAAUGACUGCUCCUUGACUGCUGGAUUCAGAUAAGUGUUCAUUAUGUUACUGCAUACAUUAAGAACCAGCGUGUGGGAUGACUCAUUCAACCUUUGUCUUUGUUCAUUCAAGGAAACGUAUCAGUACUCAGCCUAACCUUUAGUGAGAUAUUUUGUGUUAUGCAUGAUGGGAAAUCAGAGUGAUAGGAGCGAGGGACAAGGUCUUUCUUUUUAUGUGAGCAAUGACCUUUUCAAGUUGUUGUUUUUUUUUCUUUUGGUUCCUCUUUUAGUGAUCACUAUAACUCCAUAUUCAUUACCUGCAUUACAUAGAGUGUAUGUGAAUUUGGGGGCAGAGGGAUCAAGAUAGGGGUGUAAUCCUUUAGGGUAGCAGUGAUUUCAAAUAUCAGCAAUAUUAAUCAAUAUUAAUUACAAAGAAACAUACUCCAAUUACCUUUAAUUUACAUUUUUGUUUUUUAAAUCAGUGAAUUUUAUAUAUAUAUAUAUAUAUAUAUAUAUAUAUAUGUGUGUGUGUGUGUGUGUGUGUGUGUGUUUGUGUGUGUGUGUUUGUGUGUGUGUGUGUUUGUGUGUGUGUGUGUUGUGUGUGUGUGUGUGUGUGUGUGUGUGUGUGUGUGUGUGUGUGACUUGUAUAUAUGAGAAGUGACUUCUCUAGUUCAGGACUUCUUUUUUAGAAUCGAUUUCAAGCUCACAUCCAGACCUGCCUCCAUCCAAUCAACAACCAAUGGUUAGAACCAAGUCCUUGCUCUGCAAUUUUUUUUUUUUUGAUAAUCCAUUUUAUUCAGAUGUACAUCACAACAUGGAAGAAAAGAUCUUACAUGACCAUAAAUAUGGGCAGAGGGGGUCUAAGCAAGCAGCCUCUGGGGGCCCUGCUCCUCUGUGAUAGACCAAAGGGAAACAUGCUUGAUGACAGCCUUAAUUUUUUGAAUAACAUUUAAAGUUUAAAUUAAAUUACUCUAAAAAUGAAAUGUGGUAAAAUGUAACAAUCUGAUAUUGCUGAUAUUUUCAAGAUUUAUUGACUUUGACAUACCAUCAUUAGGGACUUAGGGGGUCAUUUAUGAUGUAAUUUCCUGUUUUGUUUUUGUUUACUGCAUGUUGAUUGGACCAGGACUUUGAUUUUGCGAACAAAUAUUUUUCAGAUAUUAAUAAAGGGGCAGCAACACUACACUUUUAGUUUCAUUGACUUCCAUUCAUGCCCAUAUGAAUGUGGGAGACAGGAAAUGCAAGCUUAUGUGAAUUUCACUGCAAAUUGGUAUAUUUUCUUUUUUUUAUAUAUCGGGAAGUUGUAUCACUCCAACGUUUAUGACAUUAGGCCCCCUAGAAAAUCAUUGACAUGAUCAACAUUUAUGUAUGUGAGAUGUAAACAGACUGUUAGAAUGAGUCAAGAAUGAGUCAAAGUGAGUGAUAUGCAUUGAAUGAAUGAGUGAAUGAAUGGAGAAAGACACUCGAUGGAUGCAGAUUUAAUGUUCCAGCAUUAAACUGAGCUGCUCCCGGCAGUAAGGUGAGCGAUUUGGUAUUCUUAUCAUGAGAGUGUUUUUCUGUGGCCUGGUAUUAUAAUGACAGAUCAGAGCAAAGGGGCUGAAAAGGUCAGAGUCUGUACAAGCUCAAUCUAGAGUACUGUCUUCAUUCCACUCCUAAUUAAAUGUCAGCAUCAGGGCCAGGAGGAGACAAAGCAGAGGAGAAAACCUGGAUCUAAAUGUCACUCUUGCACAGGCCCGUUUUCUCCACUGACGGCCUGAGCAACUGUGGCGACAGAGUAAUCCUGAACACUGAGGUGACAGCGUCUGUCUGUCUGACUGAGAGAUUAGCCACAGAGCAAAAAGUCUUACUGCAGCCUAAUAUAUAUUUCCCUAUCCCCCUUAUUUAGCCUAAUGAGGCAAGUUGCUUAUUUUGGGCUUGUUUUGGUAGAUCAUGUUGCUUGUUUUUCUGAAGAGGUUUUGGCAGCUCUAGUUCUGCAAUGUCUGCAUUAUUCAAUUGAAUGUGGAUGGAAUGUGAUCAAAUAUAUGAUACACAAACCCGAUUCCAAAAAAGUUGGGACACUGUGAAUAAUUUAACAAUUGUGAAUAAAAACAGAAUGCAAUGAUGUGGAAGUUUCAAAUUUCAAUAUUUUAUUCAGAAUACAACAUAGAUGACAUAUCAAAUGUUUAAACUGAGAAAGUGUAUCAUUUUAAGGGAAAAAUAAGUUGAUUUUAAAUUUCAUGGCAUCAACACAUCUCAAAA